CCUAGGGGUGGCUGCAGUGGGGAAUAUUGGACAAUGGGCGAAAGCCUGAUCCAGCCAUGCCGCGUGUGUGAAGAAGGCCUUCGGGUUGUAAGGCACUUUCAGUGGGGAAGAAAGCCUUGGGGCUAAUACCCUCGAGGAAGGACAUCACCCACAGAAGAAGCACCGGCUAACUCCGUGCCAGCAGCCGCGGUAAUACGGAGGGUGCGAGCGUUAAUCGGAAUUACUGGGCGUAAAGCGCGCGUAGGCGGUCUGAUAAGCCGGUUGUGAAAGCCCCGGGCUCAACCUGGGAACGGCCUCCGGAACUGUCAGGCUAGAGUGCAGGAGAGGAAGGUAGAAUUCCCGGUGUAGCGGUGAAAUGCGUAGAGAUCGGGAGGAAUACCAGUGGCGAAGGCGGCCUUCUGGACUGACACUGACGCUGAGGUGCGAAAGCGUGGGUAGCAAACAGGAUUAGAUACCCGAGUAGUC
rnacentral:rRNA from 1 species